rnacentral:sRNA from 1 species
CAGCCACGUGCUGGCUUUCUAAGGCCAACAUCCCUUCCACGUCUGUCUGUGGUUGCUGGUUUUGAUGCCUGUUUAGAGCAGACAGAUCUCAGCGCAGUGGGGAGUGCUGAAAUGGGUUCCCUUCCAAAAGGGAAACCCCCAGAGGGGCAGUCCUUGGGAGAAACAAUUUAGCAGCAAGUACUGUGAAAUUAACCCUGCACCUUUGACCAUGUGAUCCCAGUUCCAGAUUUUUCAUCUCUCUUUUGUGUUAUAAGUAACACCCAAAAUGAUACUGUUUCAUAGAAAAAGUGUUCAAAUAUAGAGCCCCUGGAGGAGAGAAAUUGAAAGCACUGUGUCUGUGGCAGGUGGAAGUGCUCAGAGCCUUCCUCCUGAGAACAGGGUGGCGUGGGCUCUGGAGAGGGGACCUGGAUUUGGGUCCUGACACAAGUUGGGCAAACCGCCUGCCGUUUCUGCUCAUCUGUGAAAUGGAGUCACGCAUCCCUGUUGUGGAGGAGUUGGGUGAGGACUUGGUUGAAUCAGCGAUGGGUCACAGCCUGCAGAGGCACUCAAGGGUGUGCGCAGCAUGGGGUGGCGAUGGAGCCUGGUGGAGGAAGGGAAGGGCAGUCAGGGUCUCAUUAUUCUGGCCGUCCUCGAUGUCAGGUGUCAGGAGGAGGCAGAGGUGGUACCUGUCACAGGGCGAAGGCCAGGGAGCUGCUUCCUCACCUGGCUCCUUCCCCAGGUCCCUGCUUCCCCUUCUCUGUGAGCGUGGAACUGGACGGUGUGGUCUGCCCUGCGGGCACUGCGAAUAGCAAGACAGAGGCCAAACAGCAGGCAGCGCUGUCUGCCCUCUGCUACAUCCGGAGUCAGCUGGAGAACCCAGGUAAUGGAGGGAGGGCCAGGCAGCUGAGCCGCAGCUGGGGACAAGAGGCCUGAGGCUGGCAGUCCUGUGGGGAGGCGGAAGUGGCUGUGCGUGUGAGCAGGAGGUGGGUUGCUGCACGAACCAUCUGAGCAUCAGGACAUCACCUGCAGGGAGCUGGGGCGGGGUACAUGUGCCGGUCCCUGCUUUCAUGUCCUCUGGGGACACUGGGUGUAGGGACUGCUAGAAGAGCAGCUCGUGUAAUGUCCGGUGUCUGGAAGAUGAAAACUUCCUCUCCCCACCUCCUUGGCUUCCUGAGGGAUGGAGGGUGGGCCUUGGCACCCACACCAGCCUGCCCUCCUUGCCUCUUUCAGAGUCCCCCCAGACCUCCAGCCAGCCUCCACUGGCCCCCCUGAGCAUAGAGAACAUCCUGACCCAUGAGCAGCGCUGCGCAGCGUUGGUGAGCGCUGGCUUUGACCUCCUGUUGGAUGAGCGCUCGCCAUACUGGGCCUAGAUCCCGCGUGCCAGGGGCCACGUGAAGGAGAUCUACAAGCUGGUGGCUCUGGGCACUGGCAGCAGCUGCUGUGCUGGCUGGCUGGAGUUCUCGGGCCAGCAGCUCCAUGACUGCCAUGGCCUGGUCAUCGCCCGCAGGGCCCUGCUGAGGUUCUUGUUCCGGCAGCUCCUGCUGGCCACACAGGGGGGCCCCAAGGGCAAGGAGCAGUCCGUGCUGGCCCCCCAGCCAGGGCCCGGACCCCCAUUCACCCUCAAGCCCCGCGUCUUCCUGCACCUCUACAUCAGCAACACCCCCAAGGGCGCGGCCCGUGACAUCUACCUGCCCCCCACCUCGGAAGGUGGCCUCCCGCACAGCCCACCCAUGCGCCUGCAGGCCCAUGUGCUCGGGCAGCUGAAGCCUGUGUGCUACGUGGCGCCCUCGCUCUGUGACACCCACGUGGGCUGCCUGUCAGCCAGCGACAAGCUGGCACGCUGGGCCGUGCUGGGGCUGGGUGGUGCCCUGCUGGCCCACCUGGUGUCUCCACUCUACAGCACCAGCCUCAUCCUCGCUGACUCAUGCCAUGACCCUCCAACUCUGAGCAGGGCCAUCCACACCCGGCCCUGCCUGGACAGUGUCCUGGGGCCAUGCCUGCCACCUCCCUACGUCCGGACUGCCCUGCACCUGUUUGCAGGGCCCCCGGUGGCCCCUUCCGAACCCACCCCUGACACCUGCCGUGGCCUGAGCCUCAACUGGAGCCUGGGGGACCCUGGCAUCGAGGUUGUGGAUGUGGCCACCGGGCGUGUGAAGGCCAAUGCCGCCCUGGGGCCUCCCUCCCGUCUCUGCAAGGCCUCCUUUCUCCGGGCCUUUCACCAGGCGGCCAGGGCUGUGGGGAAGCCCUACCUCCUGGCCUUGAAGACCUACGAGGCUGCCAAGGCUGGGCCCUACCAGGAGGCUCGCCGGCAGCUGUCUCUUCUCCUGGACCAGCAGGGCCUGGGGGCUUGGCCCUCGAAGCCACUGGUGGGCAAAUUCAGAAACUGAAGUCGGCCUCCGCGGGACCACGGUCCCGGAGCCAAGCUAUACCCCUGCUUGGGGAGUGCCCUAUCUGAGGAGCGUUGUGGGGAGAACAUGGGUUGUGCGGGGUGAAACUGGGGCUGGAGGGAAGGAGGAGCCUGCUGUGGUUGGGAGGCGGCUGCUGCACGUUUGGGCUUGAAUAAAGAAGUAUUUCUGGUU